rnacentral:lncRNA from 1 species
CCACACCUGUAGAUAAUCCUGCAUAAGGAUUACUAAAAUAAAACUUCUCUAGACCUACAAUUAUAAAUGAAUAACUAACUGUGAUCUAGAGGAACCUAACUUCUUGUAAAUAUUUGAGGUUUAAUUUUGUAAUCUUUCCAUUUCCAUUUUCCUCUAAAAUCUACCAGUUAAUAUUACGAAUGCUUCAGGUUACCUGCAAUGUCUGAAUCAUAAAGUAAAGUAUACUAAAUACAUAUAAUUAAAGAGUACAGACCCAUAAGAAGCAGAGGUCACACACACCAACAGUACAUAAUGGACAACAGAGAUGUACCACAAAGAAGUAGAAUAGGGAAAUGAUAACAUGAUCAAGUUGUCAUGGCCAAUACUUUAAUCCCUUAGGGAGGAAAAAGUUUAAUUUUGAAAAUUUUAUUUACAAAGAAAUUUAUACUCCUCAAAGAAAAAUAUGUAUUGUCAAAAGACAUCAUUAAGAAUGUGAAAAGGAAACUAAAAAAAAGGUGAAAAUAUUUGCGAUAUAGGUAUCCCAUAAAAUACUAGUAAGUAGAAUAGUAGUCCUCAAAGUAUAGUCUGCAAAUACCUGGGGGUCCUUUAGACUCUCUCAAGGGAUCCACAAAGUCAAAACAACGUUCACAGUAACACUAAUAUGUUAUUUGCCUUUUUCACUGUGUUGACAUUUGCACUGAUGACAUUUCACCUGUUUUGACAUUUUCAAAGGCAAUAAUGGGCAAAACCCCUGAUGCCUUAACAUGAAUUAAUGGCUUGGCACCAAACUGUGCUGGUAAUUCUUGUAUUCUUCAAUGCCAGGCACUCAUGAUAAAACAAAUGCCAGUUUCAUGUAAGAGUAUGUCAACAUUGGAAAAUCUGGAUAGCUCAGUGAACUAAUACUUUUUAUAUGAUCAUUAUAUGGCUACAAAAUCAUGCACAGGUGAAAGAGUUAUUCAAAGUACAAAAGAGACCAGUGAAUUUUAAGGUAGCAGAGUAUGAAAAAUUUCAGAUUCCAUAUUGCAACCAACCUAUAAGAAACUAUUUUGUGUUGAGUUCUCAGCUAUAGUAUCAAAAAAUAUCAACAAUUAUCUGAAAAAGGCUAUUAAAUAUUAAAGUCUCCUCCUUUAAUCAACAUAUGUAUAAGGCUAGAUUUUUUUCAUAUAUUUCAACCAGAACAAUAUAUCACAACAGACUGAUGUAGAAGCAAAUCUGAGAUAUCCAUCUGUCUUGUAUUAAGCUAGACAUUAAGUUAUACAAAAAUAAAAUGAUGCUAUUCUUCUUACUAAUUUUCUUUUGUUUUAGAAAAUAGUUAUUUUUCUUGGAAACUAUAUUAUUGAUGUUAACAAAUAACAGGUGUUUUGUUGUUAUUUUUAAAUAAAUACAUAAAUAUUUUAAAGUUUCUCAGUAUUAAUUUCAAAUUGAUAAAUACUGAUAGGUAUAAAUAGCAUAAACAAAAACUCUUUGGAUGCCUCAAUAAAAAGGAGUCUGAAAACCAAAAAGUUUGAAUAUAGCUGUAUUAGCUUCCUAUCACUCUUGCAGUAAAUCACUACAAAUUUAGUGACUUAAGACAAUAUAAAUGUCUUUCCUUACAGUUCUGGGGGUCCAAAAUCCAAAAUGCCUUAUGCAGCAAAAAUUAAGCAACUUCUGUCUGGAGGCUCUAGGAGAAAAUCUAUUUCUUGUUUUUCUCAGAUUCUAGAAGGUUGCCCACAUUCCCUGGCUCCUUGUUAAAUCACUCUGACCUUUGCCUCCUUCAUUACAUCUCCCUUUCUGAGUCUGCCUACCUCCCUCUUAUAAGCACCCUUGAGAUUACAUUAAGUACAUCCAGAUAUUACAAAAUAAUCUCCCUAAUUCAAGGACCUUAACUUAAUCACAUCUGCAAAAUUGCUUUUUCCAUUAACAUAUUCAUUGGUUCUGGGGAUAAGAAUAUAGAUACCUUUGGGAGAUCAUUUUUCUGUCCAUGACAACUGCUAAAUGAAAUAUAUAAUUAACAUAAAAUUAUUAAUAAAAAGGCAGGUGCCCAGUUAAAAAAGGGCAAUAUUUGAAUAGAUACUUUACAAAGAAGUAUACAAAUGACCAACAAACAUGUGAAAUGUUGCCCAAUUUCAUUAGACCUCAGAAAAAUGGAAACGAAAUAUCUAUGUAAUAUCAAUAUAUAUCCAAUAGAAGAGUUAAAAUGAUAAAGACAAAUAAACCUAAAUAUAGGUUGAUAUAAUUCUCUGGAAAAUUCUUUAGCAGGAAAUAUUUUCAUACACUAUGAUAAGCAAUUUCACACCUAAGUAUGUACUUGAAAUAUGUCCAUCAAAAUACAUAAACAAGAAGUUUCAAAGCAACACUAUUUCUAAUAACCAAAACCUUGAAACAAAUCAAAUAACAAAACUGUGGUGGAUUCAUAUAAUGUGAUAUUAUGUAAGAAUAAGAAUGAACAAACUACUUCUGUGUGCAAUGGAUGAAUCUCAUAGAUUAAUUUUGGUGAGCCUCAGAAAUGACACAAAAGAAUACAUAUUGUAUCAUCCUCCAAAUAAGCGAAACCGAGCUAUGACAUUAGAAAUACAGAUAAAGAUUUAACCUCAGGGAGAAAGGUGAAGAUUUGACAGAGGAAAGGCUAGAAGGGUCUUCUGGGAAACUGGAAAUAUUCUGUUUCUUCACCUUUGUGCUGAUGACACAGGUUAUGUCUACUUUGUGAAAACUGAUCAAACUAUACAUUUAUGAUUUGUUUAUUUUUAUAUGUUUCAUAUUCUUCAAUUAAAAAUAAAUAAAUGAACUUACUUCCUUUUCUAAAGGGUGGAGUAUUUAAAAAACACAUUUUUUCAAGAGCCUCAAAUUAAAACAACGAGCUACAGGGAUCACUGUGUCUGUUUUACAACAGCAGAAAUAUAGUAUGGUUAACAUGGCACCAAAAAUACAGUUCUGGAGAACAGUCCCCAGAUUUUACACAAUUCCAGUUGUAAUCUAUGUUCACGUUUAGGAAAAACAGGCACAGAAGAAAACUAUCUUCACCAAGAGGUCACAGGAGACUCUUUGAGACUGCAGAGUUAAGGCCUGUUUACACUGAAAGAUGGCUUCCCAUUUUCAGGUCCUUGUCAACUCUUGAUCCUAAGACUAUCUUCCAAAGAAGUUUUCAAGAUACAAAACUAGUACAGAAAUCUUAAAAAACAAACAAAAAAACAAACAAAAAACUGAAUUCACCAAACAAACCAAAACACCCACCCAAACACCAAAACACCCAUAUUCAAAAGCACAAUGUAAAACUUUCUCACUUUCCUAGUUUGACAGUCACUG